rnacentral:rRNA from 1 species
AGAGUUUGAUCCUGGCUCAGGACGAACGCUGGCGGCGCGCCUAACACAUGCAAGUCGAACGAGCGAGAGAGAGCUUGCUUUCUCGAGCGAGUGGCGAACGGGUGAGUAACGCGUGAGGAACCUGCCUCAAAGAGGGGGACAACAGUUGGAAACGACUGCUAAUACCGCAUAAGCCCACAGCUCGGCAUCGAGCAGAGGGAAAAGGAGCAAUCCGCUUUGAGAUGGCCUCGCGUCCGAUUAGCUAGUUGGUGAGGUAAUGGCCCACCAAGGCGACGAUCGGUAGCCGGACUGAGAGGUUGAACGGCCACAUUGGGACUGAGACACGGCCCAGACUCCUACGGGAGGCAGCAGUGGGGAAUAUUGCACAAUGGGGGAAACCCUGAUGCAGCGACGCCGCGUGGAGGAAGAAGGUCUUCGGAUUGUAAACUCCUGUUGUUGAGGAAGAUAAUGACGGUACUCAACAAGGAAGUGACGGCUAACUACGUGCCAGCAGCCGCGGUAAAACGUAGGUCACAAGCGUUGUCCGGAAUUACUGGGUGUAAAGGGAGCGCAGGCGGGAAGACAAGUUGGAAGUGAAAUCUAUGGGCUCAACCCAUAAACUGCUUUCAAAACUGUUUUUCUUGAGUAGUGCAGAGGUAGGCGGAAUUCCCGGUGUAGCGGUGGAAUGCGUAGAUAUCGGGAGGAACACCAGUGGCGAAGGCGGCCUACUGGGCACCAACUGACGCUGAGGCUCGAAAGUGUGGGUAGCAAACAGGAUUAGAUACCCUGGUAGUCCACACCGUAAACGAUGAUUACUAGGUGUUGGAGGAUUGACCCCUUCAGUGCCGCAGUUAACACAAUAAGUAAUCCACCUGGGGAGUACGACCGCAAGGUUGAAACUCAAAGGAAUUGACGGGGGCCCGCACAAGCAGUGGAGUAUGUGGUUUAAUUCGACGCAACGCGAAGAACCUUACCAAGUCUUGACAUCCCUUGACGAACAUAGAAAUAUGUUUUCUCUUCGGAGCAAGGAGACAGGUGGUGCAUGGUUGUCGUCAGCUCGUGUCGUGAGAUGUUGGGUUAAGUCCCGCAACGAGCGCAACCCUUACUGUCAGUUACUACGCAAGAGGACUCUGGCAGGACUGCCGUUGACAAAACGGAGGAAGGUGGGGAUGACGUCAAAUCAUCAUGCCCUUUAUGACUUGGGCUACACACGUACUACAAUGGCGUUAAACAAAGAGAAGCAAGACCGCGAGGUGGAGCAAAACUCAGAAACAACGUCCCAGUUCGGACUGCAGGCUGCAACUCGCCUGCACGAAGUCGGAAUUGCUAGUAAUCGUGGAUCAGCAUGCCACGGUGAAUACAUUCCCGGGCCUUGACACACCGCCCGUCA